GUCGAACGAAGCAUUUUAGAAUGAGACUUCGGUGGAUUUUUAAAACGACUGAGUGGCGGACGGGUGAGUAACGCGUGGGCAACCUGCCUUACACAGGGGGACAACAGUUAGAAAUAGCUGCUAAUACCGCAUAAGCGCACAGUACCGCAUGGUACAGUGUGAAAAACUCCGGUGGUGUAAGAUGGGCCCGCGUUGGAUUAGCUAGUUGGAGGGGUAACGGCCCACCAAGGCGACGAUCCAUAGCCGACCUGAGAGGGUGACCGGCCACAUUGGGACUGAGACACGGCCCAGACUCCUACGGGAGGCAGCAGUGGGGAAUAUUGCACAAUGGGCGAAAGCCUGAUGUAGCGACGCCGCGUGAGCGAAGAAGUAUUUCGGUAUGUAAAGCUCUAUCAGCAGGGAAGAAAAUGACGGUACCUGACUAAGAAGCUCCGGCUAAAUACGUGCCAGCAGCCGCGGUAAUACGUAUGGAGCAAGCGUUAUCCGGAUUUACUGGGUGUAAAGGGAGCGUAGACGGCUUAGCAAGUCUGAUGUGAAAGGCUGGGGCUCAACCCCGGGACUGCAUUGGAAACUGUUAAGCUAGAGUGCCGGAGAGGUAAGCGGAAUUCCUAGUGUAGCGGUGAAAUGCGU
rnacentral:rRNA from 1 species